rnacentral:rRNA from 1 species
CACGGCCCAGAYUCYUACGGGARGCAGCAGUGGGGAAUUUUGGACAAUGGGGGAAACCCUGAUCCCAGCCAUCCCGCGUGUGCGAUGAAGGCCUUCGGGUUKKWAAGCACUUUUGGCAGGAAAGAAACGUCAUGGGUUAAUACCCCGUGAAACUGACGGUACCUGCAGAAUAAGCACCGGCUAACUACGUGCCAGCAGCCGCGGUAAUACGUAGGGUGCAAGCGUUAAUCGGAAUUACUGGGCGUAAAGCGUGCGCAGGCGGUUCGGAAAGAAAGAUGUGAAAUCCCAGAGCUUAACUUUGGAACUGCAUUUUUAACUACCGAGCUAGAGUGUGUCAGAGGGAGGUGGAAUUCCGCGUGUAGCAGUGAAAUGCGUAGAUAUGCGGAGGAACACCGAUGGCGAAGGCAGCCUCCUGGGAUAACACUGACGCUCAUGCACGAAAGCGUGGGGAGCAAACAGGAUUAGAUACCCUGGUAGUCCACGCCCUAAACGAUGUCAACUAGCUGUUGGGGCCUUCGGGCCUUAGUAGCGCAGCUAACGCGUGAAGUUGACCGCCUGGGGGAGUACGGUCGCAAGAUUAAAACUCAAAGGAAUUGACGGGGACCCGCACAAGCGGUGGRUGGAAKGUGGAUUAAUUCGAUGCAACGCGAAAAACCUUACCUACCCUUGACAUGUCUGGAAUUCCGAARAGAAUUUGGAAGUGCUCGCAAGAGAACCGGAACACAGGUGCUGCAUGGSUGUCGUCAGCUCGUGUCGKGAGAWGGUUGGGGGUUAAKUCCCSCMACSAAGSGSAACCCUUGKYAUUARUUGCUACSAAARGGSRCUCCUAAUGAGAMUGSCGGUGRCAAAC